CCAAUAGCGUAUAUUAAAGUUGUUGCAGUUAAAAAGCUCGUAGUUGAAUUUCGGGGUCAGUGAGUUGGUCGUGCCACUGGUAUGCACUGGCUUUACUGAUUCCUCCUUCUUGAAGAACUGUAAUGCUAUUAAUUUAGUGUUGCAGGGAAACAGGACUGUUACUUUGAAAAAAUUAGAGUGUUUAAAGCAGGCUAACGCUUGAAUACAUUAGCAUGGAAUAAUGAAAUAGGACGUUUGAUCCUAUUUUGUUGGUUUCUAGGAUUGACGUAAUGAUUAAUAGGGAUAGUUGGGGGCAUUAGUAUUCAAUUGUCAGAGGUGAAAUUCUUGGAUUUAUGGAAGACUGACUACUGCGAAAGCAUUUGCCAAGGAUGUUUUCAUUAAUCAAGAACGAAAGUUAGGGGAUCGAAGACGAUCAGAUACCGUCGUAGUCCUAACCAUAAACUAUGCCGACUAGGGAUCGGAUGAUGUUAAUUUUUUAAUGACUCAUUCGGCGCCUUACG
rnacentral:rRNA from 1 species